rnacentral:rRNA from 1 species
GACGAACCGUGCGAACGUUAUUCGGAAUCACUGGGCUUAAAGGGCGCGUAGGCGGGCCGAAAAGUCAGGGGUGAAAUCCUCCAGCCCAACUGGAGAAGCGCCUUUGGUACUGUCGGCCUCGAGGGGUGCAGGGGCAUGCGGAACUCAGGGUGGAGCGGUGAAAUGCGUAGAUAUCCUGAGGAACACCGGUGGCGAAGGCGGCAUCCUGGACCGACACUGACGCUGAGGAGCGAAAGCCAGGGGAGCAAACGGG